rfam:Enterocytozoon bieneusi H348 ctg01_2760, whole genome shotgun sequence.
GAAAGAACUAACUAGGAUUCCGUUAGUAGUGGCGAAUGAACACGGAAGAGCUCCAAUGGUAAAGCCUAAGUGCUGUUGUAAUGUAGCCUCCGAAAACAUUCUGGAAAGGAUGACCACAGUGGGUGAUAGUCCCAGAGGAGGAUGUAAAGAAUAGAGUAGUGCUGCUUGGUAGUGCAGUAUGAAGAGGAGGUAGAAACUUCUAAAGCUAAAUACAGACGGAUACCGAUAGAGAAGAAGUAGUGCGAACGAAAGUUGAAAAGAUCUCAUCUAGAGAAUGAAAAGUGAAAGUAUUAGGGCGUAAGCUGAUGACAUCAGACCCGUAUUGAAACACGGACCAAGGAGACUUUGAGUAUAGCGAGGCGAAGGAUGUGAAGUCCCCACCCGCGAGAAAUCUACAAGUUAUACUGAUAGGACCCGAAAGGCAGUGAACUAUACCUGCUCUGCUUGACGCCACGGCAAACCGUGGUUGAGGAGCUAAGUCGUAUUGAUGUUCAACUCAUUGACAGGAAGUGGGUAUAGGGGCGAAAGACCAAUCGAACUGCCUGGUAGCUGGUUCCGGCCGAAAUGUCUCUCAGGACAGCGGUGUCUGCGAAUAGGAAGAUGCGGUAGAGAGGAUGUCGACCUUGUCAACAAACUCCGAAUGCGUCAUUGUGUUGCGAUUGCAUCCAACAUGAUCAUCUAUAAGACACUAGUGGGCGCCUUGUGGUAAGCAUGCGGCGCAAAAAGGGAUGAACCUAGCAGUGGGGUAAGGUGCCUAAAGGAAAACAAAGAGAAAAAGCGUUUGGCAGAUUAGGACAGUGGGGCGGUGGCCAUGGAGGUCGGCAUCCGCUAAGAAACGUGUUUACAACGUACCCCCCGAAUCUGCGAAUGCUGAAAAUGGAUGGCGCUUAUUUCCAUACCAAGCCCCACAUGGUACAGCCACGUAGGCCGGCACGUGUGCAUCUGAGAAAACCCGCCGUGAGGUGGUUUGGAAAUGUUCACGGAACAAAUCUUGGAAGUAGGACCAUCCUUUGUAGGUGCCAAUGGAGGGCGGGUUUGUCCUUUUUAUAAAAGGAAGGUAUCGAACCAUGUAAAGGGA